CGAACGUCCUCAUCAAUGUUGACGAAAUCCACCAUGACCCAAAAGAAUGGCCUGAACCUAAUGAAUUCAAGCCUGAACGAUUUCUUGACAGUGAUGGAAAGUUUGUGGGUUGGACAACAAAACAUGCUUUCAUGCCAUUUGGACUUGGUCGCAGAGAAUGUCUCGGUCAGGUUUUUGGAAAGAUCAUGUUGUUCACAUUUGCAUCAACGUUGCUACAUCUCUACAAGAUUGAGCUUCCUGAGGGAGCGGAGAAACCAUGUACUUCACCCAUUGGACUAAAUUUUCAUCACCCUAAAGAUUUCACGGUUGUCGCGAAAAAACGACAUUAAAAAAGUGUUUACAUCGGGAAAGAUCUUCCCUUGAAGUUACUUAAAUCACAUUACGUUUUCAUUUAUAAGUCUUUAAAUUUGUUCAUAAAAUGGAAUAAUCAAUCAAUAAAUCAAUCAAUUUUCAGUGUCGU
rnacentral:lncRNA from 1 species